rnacentral:rRNA from 1 species
UACGAAGGGUGCAAGCGUUACUCGGAAUUACUGGGCGUAAAGCGUGCGUAGGUGGUUCGUUAAGUCUGAUGUGAAAGCCCCGGGCUCAACCUGGGAACUGCAUUGGAUACUGGCGAUCUGGAGUGCGGUAGAGGGUGGCGGAAUUCCCGGUGUAGCAGUGAAAUGCGUAGAUAUCGGGAGGAACAUCCGUGGCGAAGGCGGCCACCUGGACCAGCACUGACACUGAGGCACGAAAGCGUGGGGAGCGAUCCGG